CGCGUGAGGAACCUGCCUCAAAGAGGGGGACAACAGUUGGAAACGACUGCUAAUACCGCAUAAGCCCACGACCCGGCAUCGGGAAGAGGGAAAAGGAGCAAUCCGCUUUGAGAUGGCCUCGCGUCCGAUUAGCUAGUUGGUGAGGUAACGGCCCACCAAGGCGACGAUCGGUAGCCGGACUGAGAGGUUGAACGGCCACAUUGGGACUGAGACACGGCCCAG
rnacentral:rRNA from 1 species